rnacentral:rRNA from 1 species
CACGUAGGGUGCGAGCAUUGUCCGGAAUUAUUGGGCGUAAAGAGCUCGUAGGCGGUGUGUCGCGUCGGCCGUGAAAACCUGCAGCUUAACUGUGGGCUUGCGGUCGAUACGGGCAUCACUGGAGUUCGGCAGGGGAGACUGGAAUUCCUGGUGUAGCGGUGAAAUGCGCAGAUAUCAGGAGGAACACCGGUGGCGAAGGCGGGUCUCUGGGACGUGACUGACGCUGAGACGCGAAAGCGUGGGGAGCAAACAGG